UACGUAGGGUGCGAGCGUUGUCCGGAAUUAUUGGGCGUAAAGAGCUCGUAGGCGGUCUGUCGCGUCGAAUGUGAAAACCCGGGGCUCAACUCCGGGCUUGCAUUCGAUACGGGCAGGCUAGAGUUCGGUAGGGGAGUCUGGAAUUCCUGGUGUAGCGGUGAAAUGCGCAGAUAUCAGGAGGAACACCGGUGGCGAAGGCGGUUCUCUGGGCCUUACCUGACGCUGAGGAGCGAAAGCGUGGGGAGCGAACAGG
rnacentral:rRNA from 1 species